GGGAAUCUUCCACAAUGGACGCAAGUCUGAUGGAGCAACGCCGCGUGAGUGAAGAAGGUUUUCGGACCGUAAAGCUCUGUUGUUGGUGAAGAAGGAUAGAGGUAGUAACUGGCCUUUAUUUGACGGUAAUCAACCAGAAAGUCACGGCUAACUACGUGCCAGCAGCCGCGGUAAAUCGUAGGUGGCAAGCGUUGUCCGGAUUUAUUGGGCGUAAAAGCGAGCGCAGGCGGAAGAAUAAGUCUGAUGUGAAAGCCCUCGGCUUAACCGAGGAAUUGCAUCGGAA
rnacentral:rRNA from 1 species